GAUCUUCGGCGGAUCAUUUGAAGCUGAGCCGGUAAUCGUCAUACAGUCGUUUGGGCGUAAGUAGCAUUCGCCCGAGUCCUACGGCUGAUCGCGAUC
rnacentral:sRNA from 1 species